UACGGAGGGGGCUAGCGUUGUUCGGAAUUACUGGGCGUAAAGCGCGCGUAGGCGGACCUGCAAGUCGGGGGUGAAAGCCCGAGGCUCAACCUCGGAACUGCCUUCGAUACUGCGGGUCUCGAGUCCGGGAGAGGUGAGUGGAAUUCCUAGUGUAGAGGUGAAAUUCGUAGAUAUUAGGAAGAACACCAGUGGCGAAGGCGGGUCUCUGGACAGUUCCUGACGCUGAGGCACGAAGGUCAGGGGAGCAAACGGG
rnacentral:rRNA from 1 species